rnacentral:rRNA from 1 species
GAUGAACGCUGGCGGCGUGCCUAAUACAUGCAAGUCGAGCGAACAGAUGAGAAGCUUGCUUCUCUGAUGUUAGCGGCGGACGGGUGAGUAACACGUGGGUAACCUACCUAUAAGACUGGGAUAACUCCGGGAAACCGGGGCUAAUACCGGAUAAUAUUUUGAACCGCAUGGUUCAAUAGUGAAAGACGGUUUCGGCUGUCACUUAUAGAUGGACUCGCGCCGUAUUAGCUAGUUGGUAAGGUUACGGCUUACCAACGCGACGAUACGUAGCCGACCUGAGAGGGUGAUCGGCCACACUGGAACUGAGACACGGUCCAGACUCCUACGGGAGGCAGCAGUAGGGAAUCUUCCGCAAUGGGCGAAAGCCUGACGGAGCAGCGCCGCGUGAGUGAUGAAGGUCUUCGGAUCGUAAAACUCUGUUGUUAGGGAAGAACAAAUUUGUUAGUAACUGAACGAGUCUUGACGGUACCUAACCAGAAAGCCACGGCUAACUACGUGCCAGCCGCCGCCGUAA